rnacentral:rRNA from 1 species
AACGAACGCUGGCGGCAUGCUUAACACAUGCAAGUCGAGCGCCCCGCCAGGGGAGCUGCAGACCGGUGAGUACCGCGUGGGAACUUACCCUUAUCUUCGUGAUAUCUCUGUGAAACUGGAAUUAAUACCGAAUGUGCCCUUUAGUGGCAAGAUUUAUCGGGUAAUGAUCGGCUCGCGUUUGAUUAGCGGGUUGGUGGGGUAAAGGCCUACAAAGGCGGCGAUCCAUAGCUGUUCUGAGAGGAUGAUCAUCCACAUUGGGACAGAGACACGGACCAAACUCGUAGGGGAGGGAGAAGUGGGGAAUAAUCGACAAUGGGCGCGAGCCUGAUGCAGCCAGGCCGCGUGAGUGAUGAAGGCGUUAGGAUUGUAAGGCUCUUUCACCGGAGACGAUAAGACGGGAAUCAGUAGAAGAAGCCCGGGCUACUAUGGG